rnacentral:rRNA from 1 species
UUGUAUUAAUUAAAUUUUCUAAUUGUAUCGAUAAAUUUUUAUUUUCUUAAGAAUUAAAGAAAGAGUAAAAUCCUCUUUAUCUUCUAUUUUUAUAUUUAUCAAAAAUUUUUCUUUUAAAAAAUAAUCAAGGAUAAUAUUUACAAACCCAAUUUACUUGGCAGCUUAAUCUAUAAUUAGGGGAAUCUGUUCUUUAAUUGACUCUCCACAAUAUAACUUACCUAAUUCUCUGAUCUAUAUAUCACCGAUAAAAAAAAAUAUUUUUUUUCUCCUUUUAUAAGAAAAUAUCAGGUCAAGAUAUAAUCAAUAAAUAGGAAUGAAAUGGAUUACAAUUUUUUACUAAAAACGAAUUUUAUUAUGAAAUAAAAAUGAAGGUGGACUUAAUAGUAAAAAUAUAAUAUUAAGACAUUUUGAUUAAAUCUUAUUAA